GGCCGGGCGUGCUUACCAUGCAGUCCAACGUGAAAGGGGAGCAAUCCCCCGGUAAGGUGGCGAACGGGUGAGUAAUACAUGGGAAUCUGCCCUGGAGAUGGGGAUAUCCUUCCGAAAGGGGGGCUAAUACCGAAUAUCGUCCGGGUUCCGGGAGGGACUCGGGGAAAGGGAGGCCUCUGGCAACAUGCUUCCGCUCCAGGAGGAGCCCAUGGCCCAUCAGCUAGUUGGUAGGGUAACGGCCUACCAAGGCGAAGACGGGUAGCUGGUCUGAGAGGACGAUCAGCCACACUGGCACUGAGACACGGGCCAGACUCCUACGGGAGGCAGCAGUGAGGAAUUUUGCGCAAUGGGGGCAACCCUGACGCAGCAACGCCGCGUGUGGGAAGAAGGCUUUCGGGUUGUAAACCACUUUUGUAAGGGACGAAGUCCUGCCGGUCAAUACCCGGCGGGGAUGACGGUACCUUGCGAAUAAGCCACGGCUAACUCUGUGCCAGCAGCCGCGGUAAGACAGGGGUGGCAAGCGUUGUUCGGAGUGACUGGGCGUAAAGGGUCUGUAGGUGGUUUUUCAAGUCUUUGGUAAAAAGCCGUGGCUUAACCAUGGUGAGGCCAAGGAGACUGGGAGACUCGAGGCUGGGAGAGGGAAGCGGAAUUUCUGGUGUAGCGGUGAAAUGCGUAGAGAUCAGAAAGAAGGCCGGUGGCGAAGGCGGCUUCCUGGAACAGACCUGACACUGAGAGACGAAAGCGUGGGGAGCAAACAGGAUUAGAUACCCUGGUAGUCCACGCCCUAAACGAUGGGAACUAAGUGUGGGGAGCAAUCCCCGUGCCGCAGCUAACGCAAUAAGUUCCCCGCCUGGGGAGUACGGCCGCAAGGUUGAAACUCAAAGGAAUUGACGGGGGCCCGCACAAGCGGUGGUGCAUGUGGUUUAAUUCGACGCAACGCGAGGAACCUUACCUGGGUUUGACAUGGCGCUGGUAGUGAACCGAAAGGGGAACGACCCCGCAAGGGGAGGCGUCACAGGUGCUGCAUGGCUGUCGUCAGCUCGUGCCGUGAAGUGUUGGGUUAAGUCCCCGCAA
rnacentral:rRNA from 1 species